UCAGAGUUUUCUGAAGUACUUUCUGUCUCACUAUCUGAUGGGUACUCAAGAGAAUAUAUUGAUUCAUUCUCUUCAUCAGAAUAUGCAACUUCAAAGCCUUUUAAAUUAGCAUACUCUAUUGCUUCAUCAUACUCAGCGAUUAAGGCUCUCUUGUCCUUUUUAGGACAUUCAUUUGCAUAAUGUCCUUCUGCCUUGCAAAGCCAACAUCUACAUUUCUUUGUUUCCUUAGAAGAAAAAUUCAUCUUCUUUUUUCUUUUGAAAAAUCUCUUUCUAGGAGAAGUUUGAGACGAUUGUUCUUUCUUAUAUCCAGGCCUUUUCCUGAACUUAUACUUCUUUUUAGAAGCAAAUUUUUUAUCAUGCUUGGUGCUAGAGAACUUUCUUCGGUGUUUUCUUUCUGUAGGAAUAUGACAUCCCCAUUGUGUUGGGGUAUCCAAAAUCUUUGGACACAUACUCUCAACUCCUCUGAGUUGCUUCUUGGCCGUUUUGGAUUUUCUGUUCUCUGUGCGUUGUUUUCUUAGGAGAUCCCUAACUCUUUCUGUAAUUCCUCCUACAGUAAAAUACUGAAGAGGGUUUUCUUCCAAGGAUUGUGCUACUGCGUCGUUCCAGGGUUCUGGCAACUUUCUGUAAUAUGUUCUGAUGAGAUCAUUAUUUUCAAUGUCUCCAAUAGUGCAGUAGUAGCUUUGGAACUCAUUGGUGUAUUCCUCGAAAUACCUCAUGUUACAAAUACUCAAUUUCUGAAUAUUCGCCUUUGCUCUUUCUUUAGAUUGCUCACUAUGCCCUGUGAUAUCUCCGCAAAAUUGUGCGUAGAUAGGCAUUGCAAAAUCUAAAGGACUAUUAGUCUGAGCCAUUUUUGCUGCCCAAUCAGUCCAUUGAGAACUUCUUUUGAAGGACUGGUACCAUUUCUGGACUGGUACCAUUUCUGGACUAUUCCGGUUAAGGUAGACUCAUAAUAUGCAUGAGCUUCCUCAUAAGCAUAUUUGGAUAACACUAGAGCCUGAGUUAGCUUUAGACUAGCAACCCAGUUGUCUAUUGUCUUUCUUUUAUCUCCUACUUGGUCCAGAUCUAGAUAAACCCCUCUUUCGGACACUGACUGUCCCCAUUUGGGUUCUGCAGGGAUAUACUUCUGAGAACUUCGUUCUCCAUAUCUUCUUGUAGGAGCUUGACCUUUUGGAAGCUUGAUAUUCUUUUCACAAAUGAUCUUUGUAGGAUUGUUGGUGAUGUUCUGUAUUACAGUAUGUCCACUUUCUGGAGGAGUUUGCCUAUCACCAUCUAUGUCCAUCGACACUCCCGAUGGCUCUGGUUCUUCUUUUGCUGCUUGAUAAGGAAGAAUCUUCCUCUUUUUCUUUCCAAGUUGAACUUGAGAAAUUUCAUUUAUGAUUUUCUCUAAUUCUUCUGGGGAAUCACAAGUCUCUGCUUGUGCAUAUAAUUCUCGUAAUUCUCUUGCUUGGAACAUUCUCAUAGGCCUUUUAGUAUCCUCUUCUUCAAGGGAUUCCUCAUUAUAAACUGAUUUAGUUCCAGAGGUACUAGCUUCUUCAUAAUUAGCAAAUGAAUGCCUAUGAAACUGCAAGCUUACCUUUCCUCCCAUGUCUUCAUAGAUUGAAGCAUUAGAGCUUUCAAGCUGUCUGACAGGAGGGGUGUAACACCCCGGACCAAAUUUUACCUAUUUACCAGGUAUUCUACGGGUUACUAAAGAAUUUAACCGUGCUCGGUAACUUGGUAAGUUAACAUUCAAGCUUAUUUUUAAGUUUUACUCAAAUUGUCAAAUCCUUCUUUUAAGGCCAUGAUUCCGUUGUACUUGUUGACACGAGUUCACCGUGUCUUCGAUUAUUUUUCAGUGCUUCGAGGUAUUGUCUACGUUUUCUAAAGGUUUGGGAUUAGAAUUGAUUUUUUGAAAUUAGAGUAUAGCAUUUAAUCUUGGCUGUUAGAUCUUUAGGGUUUUGAUCUCCUCCAUUGAUUCAAGUAUAGAAGUAUAAGAGGGGAUUGACUUUGUCAAAGCCAAUUACGGGCGUUGACCCGAGCCCGGACUGCUCACUCUUCCUCUCCGCCUGCCUCCAUCAUCUCCGACGUGGUGACGCCGAUUCUGGCCACCACUUGCUACAAAAAACACCACCAAAUCAUUCCCCUCAUUCUUCUCUUCAAAACCCAGUCUAUUGAUCUCAAUUGCAACGCGAUUCGGUGGUGAUCGGUCGAAGGGUAGCUCGACUGUGUUUGCCGAUUUCCUGCGUUUUUCCAACGAGUUCAUCGGACACCGAUGGUAAGUCUCAGCUCGCCUUUCUCUUCUCUUCAUCUAUGUGUCUUUGUUUCUUAAAAUCGAACCUUAAUCUCAAAAUCCCUUUUUCUCUGCCUCUUUCUGGGUUCCGGGUUCCUAGCUUCGGCGACGUAGUUCAGUGGUUUCCGACGAGCGCUUCGAGUUUUGGUGAGUCCUUAAAGCCUUGCGGGGAGUCCAGUUGCCUUGGAGUGACUUGUGGAGCUGCAACCAUUGAACUGGACCAAGGUAGAAGCUUGGUGCGUUUUGGCUAGAGGGGACCCGAGGUGGUGUGGUGCUGAUUCGGUGGAGGUGGCGCCUAAGGCAGCAGCUGGGGAUGUUUGGAAGUCCUCCAUGUUGAGGUUUGGCAAGGAGGAGCUUCUAGUUUUCGAAGAAGAACAAAUUGAAGGUAAGCUUGAUGUUUCAGCUUCUGUGUUAUGUUGUAGUGAGGUUUGAGUACGGGUUAGGUGUUUUGGUGUUGUUGCUCGGUGUUAUUUGGAGAUGGUUAAUGUCUGUUUCAUUGUUGUGGUUGAUAUUUGUCGAUAACUUGUUGAUAGGAGUUUAUGGGGAGGUUAUGGCAAAAUUCCGGCAAGUCGCCGGAAUCCGGCAAGAGAGUCCGGCGAGGGCAGAAUCAGGCAAAGACUAUUGAGGUAGUUAUCGACAUUUUUCCAUGCUGUUGUGUAUCGUUUCAGUAAUAUGAAAGUUUGUAGGUUGUAGUCGGAAAUCUUUCUAAGUGAGGAGAGUUUCUAUUUUAGGAAACUUUAUAUUUAUGAGAAACCCUUUUUGGGUGCCCUUAGUAAAUUAGUUGAUGUGUUAAAGGCAUGGAAAUUGUUUGUGACUUCGAUUGCCGGUUAAGGUUUGGUUUGGAACCGAAUAAGUUUUAGAUGCGAAGUUAUUAGAAAAUGAUUCUAAAUAUCUAUUGGUCAACCAUGGGUCAAACUUGGUCAAUUCUAGUCAACCUAGGAAAUCCUAGUCAAACUAGGAAGAAGUCGAUUCGUUAAUGUUGAUGGAGUCCGGUCUGACCAAUUUAUUCUUCUGUUUAUCGUCAGUCGUGGGAUUGGUUAGAGAGUGUGAUUAAUUAGAGGCAGCGCUCGAGGAGUAUUCCGGACAUUGGAAGGUUUAAGCCUAAUACUGUGAGUGGACUUUUGUUUUAAAUAAUAUGCAUGCUAUGGUUCAUGAAUGAACAAUUAAUUUCGUGGAGCAUUUUGACGUCAUUUUAAUUUUUGACAAUCUUAUUUCUCUUGGAGAGUUACCGAAAAUGGGAUUUUCGGUGGAUAUAAAUAUGUAAUUAUGAGAGAGUAUGUAUAUAACAGCUAGCUAGCCCUAUGUGUCUGUCCACCUUAAUGGCAUAGCAUAUAGCCGCAUUAUGGUGUGACGUGAGCGUUGGACGCGAGCGUAGUAGUCUUAUAUGAGUGUUUAAUUCAUAUAGGGGGUAUGGGCACAUAUUUAUACACCCGUCUGUCCACCUUAAUGGCGUAGUGUAGCACCGCAUUAAGGCGUGACGUGAGCGUUGAACGCGAGCGUAGUAGCCCUAUAUAGACCCAUGAAUUUAUAUAGGGAGUAUGGACGUGUGUAAAUACAUACAUAUAUUAUAGAGCCUAAGAGGCUCGAUAUUUAUGAGAUAAAAGUUUUAUCGCUUGCAGCAUGCAUUCGAUUUUCCUUAAAAAUUGUUUUGGGGAAACAUAAAUAUUUUAUUUAUUAAUUUAUUUUUGUCCACUCACUCUAACGUUUUCAAAUGUUUUCCCCUGGGCCCUUCGUUCUUAAAAAUGCCCAGUUUGCAGGAUUGCAUAGUUGAGGUCGGGCGUACAUAGAGAAGAGGCAUAGUCAAUAGUAUAGUUUCCGCUCAUUUCUAUAUUUCUAGUUCUUUUCCUCUCAAUUAGAAUUGCUCUGAACUGUGAUUAUUGCUUGUGGGAUUAUUCUUAUUAAGGUUGGAUUGGGAUUAUCAGAAGUGUGUGCAGGUUUUAUUAGGAAGGGUUGUCCAUUCAUUUCUAUAUUUCUAGUUCUUUUCCUCUCAAUUAGAAUUGCUCUGAACUGUGAUUAUUGCUUGUGGGAUUAUUCUUAUUAAGGUUGGAUUGGGAUUAUCAGAAGUGUGUGCAGGUUUUAUUAGGAAGGGUUGUCCAUUUUCAAGGGAGGUUAAGCCGAAUUUUUCGGUAAACUUUCCUUGGAGGUGGUCCCCGCAGGAUUUACUUCGGAUUUCAGGGUGAAAUUCGGGGUGGGUCUUGACAAGGGGUCAGGUUCCAUUCUCUUGGGAAUGUUACUUCAUGCCAUUUCGUGACAUUUUUUCUUGAGAAUUAUUUUUUGGGUUGGUGAGAACAGAUGUAGUAAUUCCAGGGCUGUUUAGAAACCUGGUAUUAGGGGUUACAUUUGAACUCAUCAACUUAUAAUAGAUUCGAUAAUCUAUCGCUAGUUCCAUCAUUCCUUUUUUCAUAGAAAUCUCAUCUGUCUUGAUUCUCAGUUUAAGACAGUGAGCAGCAUCCCUAAGAUGCGUUGUGAAGUUUGGAAAAACAUUAAAAUAUGCAACUUGAUUGCACAAAGAAGCUUCUACUGUUCCUAACAGACUUUUCUUGAAAUCUGUUAUUCUAUCGUCUUUUAGGACACAUAGGACAGAACAGUCAAUAUCAUCUCUAGCUAAGAGCUUUAUUCCUACCUGUACUGCACCUAUAUGCAUAUAGGAAUAUUUUUUCUGGAAAGCUUCACUUACUUCUUUUGGAGUUAUCACCCUGAUAUCUGUUUCUCCACCUGUGGCUAGAACUGUUAAUUCAAGAAUCUUGAAUCUGUGAGAAUCCAUAAUAAAGGAUCCUUUCUUAUAUAUCUCAUUGAACCUAAAUCUAG
rnacentral:lncRNA from 1 species